rnacentral:rRNA from 1 species
GACGUAGGAUGCAAGCGUUGUCCGGAUUUAUUGGGCGUAAAGAGCUCGUAGGCGGUUGGGUAAGUCGGGUGUGAAAACUCCAGGCUCAACUUGGAGACGCCACCCGAUACUGCUCUGACUUGAGUUCGGUAGGGGAGUGGGGAAUUCCUGGUGUAGCGGUGAAAUGCGCAGAUAUCAGGAGGAACACCAACGGCGAAGGCAGCACUCUGGGCCGGUACUGACGCUGAGGAGCGAAAGCGUGGGGAGCGAACAGG